UAUUCCAAUGCCUCCCCUUGUUUUGCAGCUUCACAGGCAACAGAUGUGUUAACUACUCUGAUCAUUGUGUAUGCAAUUUCCCCUCUCUUUCCUCUUCGCCUUCCAGAUCUCUCAUCGUACCCAACUCUUCCCCUCUAGACGGCAUGAUCUACCCACAGAGAGCCACAUGUUUUCUCGUCAUUGCCGUCCUCAUCCUCCUCCUACCACUGAUGUCUUCCUAUCCAUGCAUGGCCGCCGCACAUGACCCACUGCAUCAUGCUCCAGGUGGCGACAUUGGUGUGUGGGGUCGUUCAGAUGGGCUGCAUCAUGAAGGGGGAAAGGUGUUUGGGAUGGGGACUGCGAGGCGCUUGGGGCAGAGGACACCGAUGAAGAACCCUCCCUCACCAGUCCCCAACGAAAACAUAGGGGUGGUGUUACCCCUGACACCACCACCACCAUCGUUGAUCAAUAAACAAGUGUUGGAGGUCCGGGAUACGAGCAUGCCAUGGUGACUUUAGUGCACCUCCUUAUCUGUUGUUGUUGUUGUUGUUGUUGUUGUUGUUGUUGUUGUUGUUGUUGUUGUUGUUGUUGUUGUGUUACAAGAAUAAUUUCACUAUUGUGAAAUAAGUUGGCAUGCUUCAAAGUGUUAAAAUAUAUUGUUCGCUUAUGUAUACCAAUUUGGACUUUUGAGAGAA